rnacentral:rRNA from 1 species
GCUUACGGCCAUACCACCCUGAACACGCCCGAUCUCGUCCGAUCUCGAAGCUAAGCAGGUCGGGCCUGUUAGUACUUGGAUGGGAGACCGCCUGGGAAUACCAGGUGCUGUAAGCU